GCUCCCGUGGCUCAACUGGAUAGAGCAGCGGACUUCUAAUCCGCAGGUUGCAGGUUCGAGUCCUGCCGGGAGCGCCA
rnacentral:tRNA from 1 species